UUAGGUGCGAAGAGAAAAAACAGUUUUUAACAAUGGCACUUACAAAACUAAGAAGUCUCAAACGGAUAAUAAGUUAAUGUCCAAUAAUCUGGCUCUCAUACUCGAUAUAUGUAUAUAAUAUAUUUGCUUCUACAUUCAACUUCGAUAGAUCGAUCAGUCCUAAAAUUAACAACUACCGUUUGUUGUGCUCGUGAUAUGAUAGGUGCUGGGCUCCUCAAAUUUUAUAUCCAAAUCCGUUUCGAAAGCUCGCGUUUUGGAACCACUAUGACACUCAGGUAAAUCGCAAAGCGCUUGUAAUUCAUUCAGCCAUCCAGCACGUUUACAAAUCUCCACAAUAACCCAAUCACAAUAAGGACUUAGAAAAUUUACAUCGAAUUGGGUAUGACGAACAGGAGUCCUCGAAAUGUAAAUCUGAGGAGUAGUAGGAGGAAUAACACUGAUGAGUUCUGAAACAGGAGCCACUUUUAAAGAAGUUCCAAUACAAAUUAAUAAAUCAGUCUCUUCAAGCUCACCACUCCCGACUUUGUUAAAGAAAGAAUCCGGUAAGGCUUCCCCAAAAAAUGUGAUAUCAGGUUUCAUAAUCCCAGGUUGAGCUAGAUCAUCUUCAGAAGAUUCACUAUCACCAUCUGAAAAAUAAUGUUUCUCUUUUUUAUUUUGACCGACUCUUCUUAAUUUUAAGGGUGGUUUUCCGCAUUCAUUGCAGUAAGAAACUCUUUGAUUUCUUAUGUCUUCAUAUAACUCCGAUCCAUCCACCUUGUGCUUGCAUUUGAUACAAGUUGCGGUAGCAAAAGACCCUAUAUAAUCAAAUUAGACAAAAUCACCAGUGCUCGAGAUGCAAAUCGGAAAAUAAAUACUUACCAUGACAUUGAAUAAUUUUGUUAUCGGAGAGUCCAGUCUUUUUUUCCAAAUUGUCUAUAUUUUGGGUAAACAAUGUUGAUAAUUUAUUCUUCUUUUCAAGCAAUCUAAUGAAGGCAUGCGAGGGGGAAUAAUGAUUCGUCUCCGGCAAAAGAUCUCUAGCAAAAGUAUAAAAAAUUUCUGGAUUUUCUCUAAACGUAUGGAUAUCAAACAUUUCAGAAGGUUCCGAUAAUCCAUGGCGUGCCAAACGGGCAUAAAAACCAUUGUCUGAACGGAAAUCUAAAAUUCCCAAACUUGUACUUAUGCCUGCCCCAACAAGGACGACAACAUUUUUAGCUUUUUUCAAUAAAUUAACAACAUCUUCAAAGGUAUUAAAAUGUGGAAGUUUGAUUCUCCUAGCAACCUCACGUUUUAAAACUUCCUUCAGCAAAGGAAGUAAACUAAUUAGCACGUUAGUAUAUCGAUAGCAGAUAUUUUAAAAAAUAAAAGAUAAAAAGAUAAGAAGGAAGUUAAAGAAAAGCAUACUCUAUGUCUUC